UGUGUGAAUGUAGAAAAAAUCGCGUACACUGGAAUUAUUUAUAAAAUACAAUAAAUCAUUAGAUACGCAAUCUUAUUUUUCUACUUUUUAUAAAUUCCUAUUGCAACGAAUAACGUAUUGUUUUUUUAAGUGUUUUUUAUUUAUUUUUUUUUUUUUUUUUUUUUGUAAGUUUUAUAUACCGUAGUGUUCUCAGAAAACUAUUGAGAAUAAAUUGGACAUUGGUCAAAGAUCCUUCGAGUAGAUUAUAUUUUCUUAUUUUCCGUUAUACGAGUUUGGGAAAAAAUACCCGCAACGUUUUCAAUAACGGUGAAUCUGCAGAGGAAAUUCGUUACCUCGCCCCCGGUUUUCACGUUAUACCUUUUUUCGUUUUAAUGAUCACAGAAACGAUCACUAUAAUCGUAGGUACUUCAGCGUUUUAUACGAAUUCAACUAUUUUUUUUUUUUUUUUUUUUGAUCUCAAUUAAAUGUUGCAUCUUAAUUAUAACAGUUUUAAAGACACGGUAUUCGCGCAGUAUUUAAUUUUAUGACAUUAACUGACCGCAUUAUUUAUGUUACUUUUAUACUCAAAUCUCUCUGCGGAUUAUUCAUAACUAAUAUCAUUGUUAUUACUCUCUGAAAAUUAUCAAAUUUACUACAAAAUUAUUUAUUUAGAUUCGUUAUUAUUUUGCGAACCGUAAAAUUUACCGUUGGUAUUUUUUUCUACAGAUAAGCCAUGAUCUCUGUAAUAAUAAAGUUGUGGUGUAUUUGACGACAAAGCCGUAUGGAUAAUACUUGCUGCGAUCCCGGUACAUCGGUUCGUGUUACGUUUAAAAAAAAAA